UACGUAGGGGCUAGCGUUGUCCGGAAUCAUUGGGCGUAAAGCGCGCGUAGGCGGCCCGGUAAGUCCGCUGUAAAAGUCAAAGGCUCAACCUUUGAAUGUCAGUGGAUACUGCCGGGCUAGAGUCCGGAAGAGGCGAGUGGAACUCCUGGUGUAGCGGUGGAAUGCGCAGAUAUCAGGAAGAACACCGACGGCGAAGGCAGCUCGCUGGGACGGUACUGACGCUGAGGCGCGAAAGCGGUGGGGAGCGAACAGG
rnacentral:rRNA from 1 species